rnacentral:tRNA from 1 species
CGCGGGAUGGAGCAGUUGGCAGCUCGUCGGGCUCAUAACCCGAAGGUCGAUGGUUCGAGUCCAUCUCCCGCAACCA